AGGGACUCAAUGACAGCUUCACACCUACUUGUGAAUGGUGGGUCAGGCUUGACUAAGAAGUGGGGUAAUAUAUGUUAUCUGAGCUCUCAUGACUUAGAGAUCAAGUCACUAUAAUAUGCUUAGAGAAGUAUCUGGGCAAAGAGGUGCCUAUGCAUUGGUGUAUGUGUCACCAAUAACUAUUAGGAGAGGUGCACAGCAUCGGUGGGACUGCAGCAUCUACUAGAAACCU
rnacentral:lncRNA from 1 species